CAGAAGCUGGCCGGGGAUCGCACUGUGGGUGGCUGAGAGUGUUGUUUCCUGGGCUGCGGACACAGGCUCGGAUCCGAGCAAACAAGCAACUUUUGAGUGCAGUGUGGAAUACAUCAUUUCAACAUAAUUGAUCAGAAGUGAAUCCCUUUCUCAGAACAUGGGCAUCUAUGCGAGUAGCUUCCACAGGUCUGGAGGACAGGUUCUCCUGGAGUCUACUGAACCCUCUCAGGCAAACUGGAUCACAGCACAUGCAGAGGCAUGUCAGUGCAGCCAAAGACCCACUCGCAUCCUGCUUCUCCC